UACGUAGGGGGCAAGCGUUGUCCGGAAUCAUUGGGCGUAAAGAGCGUGUAGGCGGCCAGAAAAGUCCGCUGUGAAAACUCGAGGCUCAACUUCGAGCUGUCGGUGGAAACUUUCUGGCUAGAGUCCGGAAGAGGAGAGUGGAAUUCCUGGUGUAGCGGUGAAAUGCGCAGAUAUCAGGAAGAACACCCGUGGCUAAGGCGGCUCUCUAGUACGGUACUGACGCUGAGACGCGAAAAGCGUGGGGAGCGAACAGG
rnacentral:rRNA from 1 species